CCUACGGGUGGCAGCAGUGAGGAAUAUUGGUCAAUGGACGAGAGUCUGAACCAGCCAAGUAGCGUGAAGGAUGACUGCCCUAUGGGUUGUAAACUUCUUUUAUAUAGGAAUAAAGUUCAGUAUGUAUACCUUUUUGCAUGUACCUUAUGAAUAAGGAUCGGCUAACUCCGUGCCAGCAGCCGCGGUAAUACGGAGGAUCCGAGCGUUAUCCGGAUUUAUUUGGUUUAAAGGGAGCGUAGUCGGAUUGUUAAGUCAGUUGUGAAAGUUUGCGGCUCAACCGUAAAAUUGCAGUUGAUACUGGGAGUCUUGAGUGCAGCAGAGGUAGGCGGAAUUCGUGGUGUAGCGGGGAAAUGCUUAGAGAUCACGAAGAACCCCGAUUGCGAAGGCAGCUUACUGGACUGUAACUGACGCUGAUGCUCGAAAGUGUGGGUAUCAAACAGGAUUAGAUACCCGAGUAGUC
rnacentral:rRNA from 1 species